CCUACGGGUGGCAGCAGUGGGGGAUAUUGCACAAUGGGGGGAACCCUGAUGUAGCGACGCCGCGUGGGUGAAGAAGCGCCUCGGCGCGUAAAGCCCUGUCAGCAGGGAAGCAAAUGCCGGUACCUGAAGAAGAAGCCCCGGCUAACUACGUGCCAGCAGCCGCGGUUAUACGUAGGGGGCAAGCGUUAUCCGGAUUUACUGGGUGUAAAGGGGGCGCAGACGGCGAUGCAAGCCAGGAGUGAAAGCACGGGGCCCAACCGCGGGACUGCGAUUGGAACUGGGGGGCUGGAGUGGAGGAGGGGGAGGCGGAAUGCCUGGUGGAGCGGUGAAAUGCGUAGAUAUCAGGAGGAACACCGGUGGCGAAGGCGGCCGGCUGGACUGAAACUGACGUUGAGGCCCGAAAGCGUGGGGAGCAAACAGGAUUAGAUACCCCAGUAGUC
rnacentral:rRNA from 1 species